rnacentral:tRNA from 1 species
GACCCGUUAACUCAGUUGGUUAGAGUGUAGUGCUAAUAACAAGUUAACGCUAAAGUCACAGGUUCGACCCCUGUACGGGUCA